ACUGGGCAUGGUGGCACAUGCCUGUAAUCCCAGUAGCUUGGGAGGCUGAGGCAGGAGGAUCACAAGUUUAAGGCCAGUCUCAGCAACUUAGUGAGACCCUGUCUCAA
rnacentral:sRNA from 1 species